rnacentral:lncRNA from 1 species
GGAUCACAGAACUAAAUUUAAGUUGCAGUCAACUCACUGAACUAAUAAAAACUUGCAUUUAGGUCACUGUGCCGUUAAGAAUGAGUUGACUUUAACGGAAUCCGUUAAAGAUAAUAAUAAAAAAUAUAAAAAAUUUGAAAAAAAUAUAAAAAUUCAAUUUUCUCAAAAAAUUCUGAAAACUUAAAAAAAAUCUGAAAAUUUUGAAGAAACUUUAAAAAAUAUGGAAUGUUUUUAAAAAAUAUGAAAAAUGUAAAAACUUCGAAAAAAAUCUAAAAAUUUUGAAAAAAAUUCAAAAAUUCAAAAAAAUCUGGAAAUUCAAAAAAUAUACCUAAAUUUCUGAAGUUAAAAAAAAUUCAGACUUUUUCCAAAUUUCCAGAUUUUUUCGAAGUUUUAAAUUUUCAAAAUCGAGUUUUUAAAAAAGCGAAUUUUUAUAUUUUUUCAAUUUUUAUUAACGGAUUCCGUUAAAGUCAACUGAUACUUAACGGCACAGUGACCUAAAUGCAAAUUUUUAUUAGUUCAGUGAGUUGACUGCAAGUUAAAUCCAGUUCUGUGAUCCGUUUGCAAACUUUUUGAGUUCAGUGACCCAAUUGCAACUUGAUCAUGAGUUCGGUGAUUUUUUUGCCUAUUAACCCU